ensembl:lncRNA
AGAAGAUUGACAUGGUACAUGGUACACGCGCACGGUCCAAAAAGAGUGCGCGUCGUAUCCAUAACAACGGAGUUGUUGCCUACUAUUCUUCUACACACUCAAAAGUAUGUAUAAGUAGGCGAAUUGGGACGCAGCAAAACACAAAGUGUCUCUCGUGCGCUGCUUCAAACAUGGAGCUUGCACCAGCAUCCUACUACGGACCCCUGGAUAAAAACAACCUCGUCCUGUCAGCUUUUCAAAGUGCAUUAAACUGUUUGAGACAUGGAACAAGUAUAAAUCUCGCCUUCCUCCCUCUUAUUUCGAAAAGCACCUGUUGCAAACAGCAGAUUUCCUCCUUGACUCAAAGGUUUUGGUGAUUCUGGUCACACUUUUGAUGAGAGCCUGCCUCCCUCCGUAAAUCCUUCCUCCUCUCUCUUUGACACAGCUGUUGCUGGGGAGUGCUUGCAUUUAAUUUGCCACUUAUUUUCCUUUACUCUUAUUUGGGUUUAUGUGUUAUAAAGGGUCUUUGUUUUGUGUCUCUCAGGAAAGAGUAAGAUUGCAGUAGAUGCUGUGAAUUUUGUGAAGCAGCUCUUCAGAUAUGAACAGUGGAGCAUGUUCAACUCGCUCUCUAUGGCACUUACGUCAGCACUAGAUGUGAGUGCAUCUGUGAUAUGGCUUAAAAUGUCAGCCAGACUGCUAUCUAGUUCUUUUUUCUUCUAAUGUUCACAGAACGUGGAAGGCUGCGCAUUUAGGAAGUAUGAGCUUGAACUGAGGACUUUGGAGGCUGUGGAGCAUUUGAUGUCCACGCAAAGAGUUAAAUGAAAGAAUUUUCAUUUCGGUCCAUCCCUACAAACUAUCUGAUUCCUGGUCAGGUCAGAAAGACAUGCAAUCUUUCACCAUAUUAGUGAAACAUAUUUUCAUGCAUGUCACUGAAUAUGUUGUAUUUAUUCUGCUCAGAUGAGAUGAGUUUGAUGGAAUUUAAGAAGUCACAUGCGGUUCAAGCACAGCCUCAGAAACAAAUAGACCUACAGGAGAAGGCCCUGUUGACAUUCAGGAAAAACCAGAUGAGCCGAGAGACCAAGAAAAUACUUGAGGUCAGGAUUUCAACUGGUGUAACAAGACAUCAGCAUAACAUGAUGUAAACUCUGUUUUCGUCUCUCCAGGAGGCCAUAACGCUAAUGGAGAAAGCUGAGCUUGAAGAGAGGAGGCUGGUUAGUAGUGCUUAUCCUUCAGAGAACAAUUUAGGAAUGCCAGAAACCUCCAACCUCUCCAUGAUCUUCAAACCUGCACCAUACACCCUUGAGGAGAAUGAUGUAACUUCCUGCAACAAAACAGGUCCUUCUAUUUUCUCAUAUCUUAGAUCAAGAAGCCAAUGUUUAAACAAAAAAAAAAAAUAGUAAACAAUCAGUACAAAGUAUGUUAUAUGGCCUUUGAUGCGGGGUCAGAUGAAUGUGAGCUUACUGGACAGGAAGACCCUGUUGUACUCUACAUGGUGAUUGAAAACAGCACCCUCCAGCAGGCCUUUAAAGAGGAUAUAUCAAAAAAACACAGAAAAAGUCAGAUUCACUGAAUGAGGUGUCGUACACUCAUUCUGUAUGUUUGCAUUAGUGUGUUACUGAUCUAGUGAUGAAGUUCAAGCAGAAGUCUUGUUUUCUGGAGUUUGUUGUGCGCUUGCUCCAGAAGGCCCUGCUAGAAGAUGAGAUUGAUCUUGUGUUGCAGUAGGAGCAGAACAUCUUGAACUGGCUUAGCAGGUGUGUUUUUGUGUAGUUCAUGCUUGCAAUGCAUGUGUAGGUGUUUUGAGUUAUAUUUCUUUGCUUUCUGUAAUAUUUCUAGACGUGAUGAGGCUUUGUUCGGGCUAAAGAAGAACUCUAGGUCUACCAGGGGAGGAGUUUAAAGACUUCACAACCUCUGUAAUUUAGUACAAUACCAAAAUAAGCUUCUGUUUCAUAAAAUGUGUUAACAUGGCGACACAUUCACACAAAUUAAAUGCAUGUUCUCUUUCAUUUUAUAAAUACUCUCUGAAUCUAAGUUUCA